UACGUAGGUCUCGAGCGUUAUCCGGAAUUAUUGGGCGUAAAGCGUCCGUAUGCGGUUUUGUUAGUCCGUGGUUAAAUCCCAGAGCUCAACUCUGGAAUCGUCAUGGAAACUGCAAAACUAGAGUAGUGCAGAGGCAGAUGGAAUUUCGGAAGUAGGGGUAAAAUCCGUAGAUCUCCGAAGGAACACCAAACGCGAAGGCAUUCUGCUGGGCACUUACUGACGCUGAGGGACGAAAGCGUGGGGAGCAAACAGGAUUAG
rnacentral:rRNA from 1 species